rnacentral:rRNA from 1 species
GUAGGUGGCAAGCGUUGUCCGGGAAUUAUUGGGGCGUAAAGCGCGCGCAGGCAGUUCUUUAAGUCUGAUGUGAAAGCCCACGGGCUCAACCGUGGAGGGUCAUUGGAAACUGGAGAACUUGAGUACAGAAGAGGAAAGCGGAAUUCCACGUGUAGCGGUGAAAUGCGUAGAGAUGUGGAGGAACACCAGUGGCGAAGGCGGCUUUCUGGUCUGUAACUGACGCUGAGGCGCGAAAGCGUGGGGAGCAAACAGGAUUAGAUACCCUGGUAGUCCACGCCGUAAACGAUGAGUGCUAAGUGUUAGGGGGUUUCCGCCCCUUAGUGCUGCAGCUAACGCAUUAAGCACUCCGCCUGGGGAGUACGGCCGCAAGGCUG